ACCCGCUGAAUUUAAGCAUAUAAGUAAGUGGUGGAAAUUAAACCAAAUGGGAUAUCUUUAGUAAUUGCGAAUGAACAAGGAUAUGCUUAGCUUGACAAAUGGAGCUAUUGGCUUUGAAUUGUAUUGUGGAAAUGUAUUACCAACAGAGGUGCAGGUGCCAGCCUAUUGAAAUAAAGCGUCAAUGAGGGUGAGAAUCCUGUUUGUCAUGUGCAGCCCUUUGUGCACGGUGUAUAUUUGCUGAGUCACACUCCUUGGCAUUGGAAUGCAAAGUGGGUGGUAAGUUUCAUGUAAAGGUAAACAUGCAAUUGAGACUGAUAGCACACAAGUACCAUGAGGGAAAUAUGAAAAGGACUUUGAAAAGAGAAUUAAAUGAGUUUGUAUUUGCUGAACACAAAGUAAACAGACUUGAUUUGCUUGGUGGGAGUGUUGCACUUGCUUGACAAGAGCUUUGGGCUGUGGGUGUAAUGAUUCUUUCUUUGCAUGCCAGUUUCUAUUUGUACAUCUGAUUACCUUUGCACAUGAAUGAUAAGUCUCCUGUGGGGGGUGGAUUGCAUGUGCAUGUAAUGAUUUGUGUUUUGAUAAAUGUGUCUGGUGUAUGUGUGUGUUCCUGUGCUUGGGGAUGCUUCCUUCCUUGGACUUACAAGCCCUGACACACACAUGCUGGCAAAAUGCUUCUGCUUGACCCGUCUUGAAACACGGACCAAAGG
rnacentral:rRNA from 1 species